CCUACGGGGGGCAGCAGUGAGGAAUAUUGGUCAAUGGGGGCAACCCUGAACCAGCCAUGCCGCGUGAAGGAAGAAGGUCCUAAGGAUUGUAAACUUCUUUUGUACUAGGGUAAACUCUUGCUCGUGAGCGAGAUUGAAAGUAUAGUACGAAUAAGCAUCGGCUAACUCCGUGCCAGCAGCCGCGGUAAUACGGAGGAUGCGGGCGUUAUCCGGAUUUAUUGGGUUUAAGGGGUGCUUAGAAGGCUGUAGAGAAAGACUGUCGCUUAACGAUAGCAUUGCCAUUGAUACUGUAGAUCUUGAGUACAUUUGAGGUGGGCGGAAUGUGUAGUGUAGCGGUGAAAUGCUUAGAUAUUACACAGAACACCAAUUGCGAAGGCAGCUCACUAAACUGUAACUGACGCUGAGGCACGAAAGCGUGGGGAUCAAACAGGAUUAGAUACCCCGGUAGUC
rnacentral:rRNA from 1 species